CUACGGGUUGCACCAGUGGGGAAUAUUGCACAAUGGACGAAAGUCUGAUGCAGCAACGCCGCGUGGAGGAUGACACAUUUCGGUGCGUAAACUCCUUUUAUAUAGGAAGAUAAUGACGGUACUAUAUGAAUAAGCACCGGCUAACUCCGUGCCAGCAGCCGCGGUAAUACGGGAGGGUGCAAGCGUUACUCGGAAUCACUGGGCGUAAAGAGCGUGUAGGCGGAUAGAUAAGUCAGGAGUGAAAUCCUAUGGCUCAACCAUAGAACUGCUCUUGAAACUGUCUAUCUAGAGUGUGGGAGAGGUAGAUGGAAUUACUGGUGUAGGGGUAAAAUCCGUAGAGAUCAGAAGGAAUACCGAUUGCGAAGGCGAUCUACUGGAACAUAACUGACGCUGAGACGCGAAAGCGUGGGGAGCAAACAGGAUUAGAUACCCUAGUAGUC
rnacentral:rRNA from 1 species